rnacentral:misc_RNA from 1 species
GAUGAAGAACGUAGCGAAAUGCGAUAGUAAUGUGAAUUGCAGAAUUCAGUGAAUCAUCGAAUCUUUGAACGCACCUUGCGCUCUUUGGUAUUCCGAAGAGCAUGCCUGUUUGAGUGUCAUGAAAAUAUCAACCUUGACUUGGGUUUUGUGCUCUAGUCUCGGCUUGGAAUUGGGUGCUUGCCGCUUUUACGAGCGGCUCACCUUAAAUGUAUUAGCUGGAUCUGUCUUUGAGACUUGGUUUGACUUGGCGUAAUAAGUAUUUCGCUAAGGACAUUCUUCGGAGUGGCCUCGUUUCUAGGACGCUUGUCCGCUUUCCAAUACAAGUUCCACCUCGUGGACAUGACUUUUUAUUAUCUGGCCUCAAAUCAGGUAGGACUACCCGCUGAACUUAAGCAUAUCAAUAAGCGGAGGA